UAGAUAAGAAGCAAACCUGUGUGAAAGUCUGAAGCAAAGAGCAAGAUUUAUCUUUGGUUUUGGCCAAAAGAAGUGAUCAAUUACUGUUUCAGGCCAAUGCCCAAGCACCCUUCAUCGUUGCAGUUCACCACACAACAGAUAGAUACCAGUGGUGUCAGCUAUCUUGAUGACUCUUCUUGAUUGGGUAGCCUGCAACAUUAACUCUCCAUGCUUAUAAAUUUACCAUAGUCGUCAAUGAAAAGAACAUGAUCACGGACCAUAGCAUCAAUCAAGAGCAACUUCAAAGGAAAAGCUUCUUCAUUAUGCGGCUUGAUGUCACAAUGCUUUUGAUGUCAGAUUGACAAGGAGAAAAAGUCAGAAAUUUGGCCCAGGUGAGGAGACUUGGCAAAAAGAUAUGUUCAUCUACGUCAAGUACGGAGAUGGUGAGUAUUUUCUUGCUAACCCCAACUGCCCUCUCAGGAAUUUCCUGC